rnacentral:rRNA from 1 species
UGAGGAACAUGACCUUCGGCGGGGGAUAGCCGGCCCAACGGCCGGGUAAUACCGCGUACGACCACAUGGGGACAUCCCUGAGUGGUGAAAGCAGCAAUGCGCCGAUGGAGUGCCUCGCGGCCUAUCAGCUAGUUGGUGAGGUAACGGCUCACCAAGGCAACGACGGGUAGCUGGUCUGAGAGGAUGGCCAGCCACAUUGGGACUGAGACACGGUCCAGACCUNUACGGGAGG